GUGAGGAGGCGCCAGGACGGCGCUUUGUCCACCGGGGCCAUGGGUCGCCC
rnacentral:lncRNA from 1 species